rnacentral:sRNA from 1 species
UACAAUAAAAACAUUGCACUGUGUCUA